UAAAUAGAAACAUUGUUCCAAUAAAUGGAACCCACGGACCAUAUUCUUCGCCAAUCUGAGUUUUGCUCACAUCUCGAAUGAAUUCAAGGAGGACAUAUUCAAAGAAAUUCUGACCGAAAGUGGGAAUGCCCUCGCUACCACCGGUGCAUCGGAGGUCAAUUGGGAAGAGCGAGAAGGAAAGGUUUGGAGAGAGUGGAGGCAUCGAAGCAGAGGCAAAUGGUGGAGUUGGAGAAACAGAGGAUGCAGUUUGCUAAGGAUUUGGAGUACCACACGAUGCACCUCUUCGCGGAAAAUUUGAAACGUAGGUUCAGCUUCAGAAAAUCAAACGCACAAACCGAUCUUCCGGAACUGGCGAGGACUAAUAAGCUAUAUCAAUCUCAAAGAUAUUGUACGACUUAGGCAAAUGGUGGAGUUGGACAAACAGGGGAUGCCGUUUGCUAAGGAUUUGGAGUACCAUAGGAUGCAGAUCUUCAUGGAAACGCAGGUUCAGCUGCAAAAAAUCAAACGCACCAAGUGAUCUUACGAAACUGGUGAGGUUUUUUGCAAGUCUAUUUACUAUUAUCAGCGCAUAGUAUAAUUUUAACUAUUGUAUGUUGUUUAUGUGGUAAAAUUGUUCUUUCAUGAGUGAAAGGUUGUUCGAAUUUAGAAAAUAAUGUCUUUGCAAUUAUGCGAUAAGACUGCGUACAAGAAUUUUCUCCACCCCAUGCUCGCUAGUCGACUUUAACGGGGAAUGAUUUGGUUUUGGUAUGUUGUUUCCUGUGUUUUUCAUCCUUUGCUGUUGUUGGGUUAUUGGUUAAAUUUUUAUUUUGUAUAAAAUUAUUCUUGGGUGGAAGAAUAUAGGAGAAUUGUAAGAAACUAAGAAUAUAGGAGAAUUAUUG